GUAUCAAUUCCUUAUCCCUGCUCAAGUCUGAUUUUCUUUUACUAUUUUCUUCAUCAAAAUUUCUUGGAAAUAAAAUACAAUCAAAGCAUCAAACCAUGGACAUACAAUUUUGGAAACAAAAGUAUCUUAAGAGAAUGCUAGAACUUUUUGAAAGAAGAGUAACAUAGGAAUUGUUGUAUCAAAGAUGGCAAAAAGUAGAUAAGUUGUUAGAAGAGCAAACAGAAAGGAGGAAU
rnacentral:misc_RNA from 1 species